rnacentral:rRNA from 1 species
AGGCUCAGUAACACGUGGACAAUCUAACCUAUGGUGGGGGAUAACCCCGGGAAACUGGGGAUAAUACCCCAUAGACUAUGAAUGCUGGAAUGCUUUGUAGUUGAAAGGUCCGCCGCCAUAGGAUGGGUCUGCGGCCGAUUAGGUUGUUGUUGGGGUAACGGCCCAACAAGCCUGUAAUCGGUACGGGUUGUGGGAGCAAGAGCCCGGAGAUGGAUUCUGAGACACGAAUCCAGGCCCUACGGGGCGCAGCAGGCGCGAAAACUUUACAAUGCGGGAAACCGUGAUAAGGGAACUCCGAGUGCCCGUAAAAUCGGGCUGUCCACCAGUUUAAAUAACUGGUGAAGAAAGGGCCGGGCAAGACCGGUGCCAGCCGCCGCGGUAAUACCGGCGGCUCGAGUGGUGGCCACUAUUACUGGGCUUAAAGCGUUCGUAGCUGGUCUGUUAAGUCUCUGGGGAAAUCUACUGGCUUAACCAAUAGGCGUCUCAGGGAUACUGGCAGACUAGGGACCGGGAGAGGUGAGAGGUACUCCAGGGGUAGGAGUGAAAUCCUGUAAUCCUUGGGGGACCACCUGUGGCGAAGGCGUCUCACCAGAACGGCUCCGACAGUGAGGGACGAAAGCUGGGGGAGCAAACCGGAUUAGAUACCCGGGUAGUCCCAGCCGUAAACGAUGCGCGUUAGGUGUAUCGAUGACCACGAGUCAUCGAGGUGCCGAAGAGAAGUCGUGAAACGUG